ensembl:lncRNA
GUUUCUACAGGGGUGGGAGGUAAACCUAGAGGUUUCUACAGGGGUGGGAGGUGAGGAGGUAAACCUAGAGGUUUCUGCAGGGGUGGAAGGUGAGGAGGUAAACCUAGAGGUUUCUACAGGGGUGGGAGGUAAACCUAGAGGUUUCUACAGGGGUGGAAGGUGAGGAGGUAAACCUAGAGGUUUCUGCAGGGGUGGAAGGUGAGGAGGUAAACCUAGAGGUUUCUACAGGGGUGGGAGGGGAUAAUAAACCUAGAGGUUUCUGCAGGGGUGGAAGGGGAGGUAAAGAAUAGUGUACACUACUGAUUCAUGUUUUAGUUUGAUUCUUAUUACUGUAAAGAAUAGUGUACACUACUGAUUCAUGUUUUAGUUUGAUUCUUAUUACUGUAAAGAAUAGUGUACACUACUGAUUCAUGUUUUAGUUUGAUUCUUAUUACUGUAAAGAUGAAAUGGGAUUUUUCUCACUCUUGCAUUUCUUCUGUAGAGCUUAAAAACAUUUCCUUUCUGUUUUUGCUAUUUUUUCUAUGACGAUCAGAUUGAGUGAUUGAUUAACCUCCCAACCCAAAGAUCCCGCCAAUUCACAUCGUGUCAGUGAUUUGAUUGGCUCCUCUCUCAAAGCUGCACGUUGUUGACGUCCCCUUCAGCCAGUCAGCAGGAAGGGGGGUUACCCCCUGUAACAGACAUCUCCUCCUCCUCUAGAUGACUCUGUAGUGAAGGAAGGGGGGGUUACCCCCUGUAACAGACAUCUCCUCCUCCUCUAGAUGACUCUGUAGUGAAGGAAGGGGGGGUUCCCCCUGUAACAGACAUCUCCUCCUCCUCUAGAUGACUCUGUAGUGAAGGAAGGGGGGGUUCCCCCCUGUAACAGACAUCUCCUCCUCUAGAUGACUCUGUAGUGAAGGAAAGGGGGUUCCCCCCUGUAACAGACAUCUCCUCCUCUAGAUGACUCUGUAGUGAAGGAAGGGGGGUUCCCCCCUGUAACAGACAUCUCCUCCUCCUCUAGAUGACUCUGUAGUGAUGGAAGGGGGGUUCCCCCCUGUAACAGACAUCUCCUCCUCCUCUAGAUGACUCUGUAGUGAAGGAAGGGGGGGUUACCCCCUGUAACAGACAUCUCCUCCUCUAGAUGACUCUGUAGUGAAGGAAGGGGGGGUGGUUGUUGUUUCGGCCACACAGCCAACAGAUAGUUCAAUAUUCAAUACUGUUCAAUCGUUGACCCCUGGCAUUUCUAUGAAUUCUAAAAGAACCUUAUCCGAUAGAUUUUAAUCGUCUUAUGAUCACUAUCAAGGGUUUAUUAAAUGAAGUUGAUGCUGCUGCUAUUUAUGACUUUCUUUUGCCUUAUCAUUUCACAGAGAGAGAGAGGGCCUUUCAGAGACUGUCAGAGAGUCUACACCAUAGAGAGAUACAUUCAAAGAUGUUCCAUUGAAUUCUAUGGGAAACACACAGUAAAGUAAUGACAUGCAUUCCCAACAUGUCAAUAGUGUUUCAGGGGAUUAGUUAAAGCAAGGCGAGGCACAGAAUCAAUCAUCUUGAUCAAAUAAUAGUUGAAUAUAACUUGAAUACGUAGUUAUUUGAUAUGUAAGGAGAUGUAUAAAUCAGUAAUGCUGUGAAGUCUGACUGCAAAUGUAGCUGAUCUCAAAGACCGUGAAGUCUGCACAUAGUAAACAAAUUCCAAAGACCGUAAACACAGUCUGCACAUAGUAAACUAAUUCCCUAAGACCGUAAACACAGUCUGCACAUAGUAAACAAAUUCCCUAAGAUCGUAAACACAGUCUGCACAUAGUAAACGAAUUCCCAUAUUCUACUACUCUUCAGCGCUCGGUUCUCCUAGCUUAGCACCAAUGGUUCCAUGUUCUGUUAGAACCCUCUGAACUGAUAGCUUAGCACUAAUGGUUCCAUGUUCUGUUAGAACCCUCUGAAUUGUCACAGAACCAUAAAACGUAGAUAUGGAAUGAUCUUAGGUCGUCUGUGACUUGAUGUUCCAUGGCCGGCUUGCUGUCCUAUCUGGGCAACGGGUGGGGCAGUCAUGACACGGUUGGGACUUGAUUGACCUUUCUGUUCUAUGAUCUUUUAAAAGCACGUAGGCAUUACUACCAUCGCUUCUCAAAUGGCACCCUGGCCAUAGUGCACAUUUGGGAUGCGGUCUACAUUUCUUUCAAAUGAAGGUUUGAAGGGGGUAACUACAUGAAGAACAUAUUAAUACAUAUAUUAUAUAUUAUGUAUAUAUUUUACUAAGACUGACCACAAAUAAACGGUCCUUCACUGAGACGGAGAGGGCUGAAAACAGAAUGGGUUCUAUAAUAGAACUCUAAUGGUUCUGAACCAUAGGGUGGGUUCUAUAAUAGAACUCUAAUGGUUCUGAAUCAUAGGGUGGGUUCUAUAAUAGAACGCUAAUGGUUCUGAACCAUAGGGUGGGUUCUGUAAGAGAACUCUAGUGGUUCUAGGGUUCUUCUGACUCUGUGCUCCUGUCUGGCUUCAUAGUAACUGCUUGUCAAAGCUUCUGUCAAGUCGUUUCCCAAAUGUUCCAUCUGUAUAGCAUGUCAAUAAAACACAUUUUGUCUGGAG